rnacentral:rRNA from 1 species
GACAGAGGGUGCAAACGUUGCUCGGAAUUACUGGGCGUAAAGCGCGUGUAGGUGGAUUGGUGUGUCAGAUGUGAAAGCCCUGGGCUCAACCCAGGAACUGCACCUGAAACUACCAGUCUUGAGUGGUGGAGAGGGAAGUGGAAUUCCUGGUGUAGAGAUGAAAUUCGUAGAUAUCAGGAGGAACACCAGUGGCGAAGGCGGCUUCCUGGACACCAACUGACGCUGAGACGCGAAAGCGUGGGGAGCAAACAGG